UGGGGAAUAUUGGACAAUGGGGGGAACCCUGAUCCAGCCAUGCCGCGUGUGUGAAGAAGGCCUUAUGGUUGUAAAGCACAUUAAGCGAGGAGGAGGGUACUGGUAUUAAUACUACCAGGUACUGGACGUUACUCGCAGAAUAAGCAUAGUCUAACUCUGUGCCAGCAGCCGCGGUAAUACAGAGGGUGCAAGCGUUAAUCGGAAUUACUGGGCGUAAAGCGCGCGUAGGUGGUUCGUUAAGUUGAAUGUGAAAGCCCCGGGCACAACCUGGGAACUGCUUCCAAAACUGGCGAGCUAGAGUAGGGCAGAGGGUGGUGGAAUUUCCUGUGUAGCGGUGAAAUGCGUAGAUAUAAGAAGGAACACCAGUGGCGAAGGCGACCACCUGGGCUCAUACUGACACUGAGGUGCGAAAGCGUGGGGAGCAAACAGG
rnacentral:rRNA from 1 species